rnacentral:rRNA from 1 species
AUUGAACGCUGGCGGCAGGCUUAACACAUGCAAGUCGAGCGAGCGGCGGACGGGUGAGUAAUGUCUGGGGAACUGCCCGAUGGAGGGGGAUAACUACUGGAAACGGUAGCUAAUACCGCAUACCAUCAGAUGUGCCCAUAUGGGAUUAGCUAGUAGGUGGGGUAAAGGCUCACCUAGGCGACGAUCCCUAGCUGGUCAGAGAGGAUGACCAGCCACACUGGAACUGAGACACGGUCCAGAUUCCUACGGGAGGCAGCAGUGGGGAAUAUUGCACAAUGGGCGCAAGCCUGAUGCAGCCAUGCCGCGUGUGUGAAGAAGGCCUUCGGGUUGUAAAGCACUUUCAGCGAGGAGGCGUUACUCGCAGAAGAAGCACCGGCUAACUCCGUGCCAGCAGCCGCGGUAAUUC